rnacentral:rRNA from 1 species
GAUGAACGCUAGCGACAGGCUUAACACAUGCAAGUCGAGGGGCAGCAGGGGAGUAGCAAUACUCCCGCUGGCGACCGGCGCACGGGUGAGUAACACGUAUGCAACCUGCCCUUGUCAGGGGGAUAAGCGGAAGAAAUUCCGUCUAACACCGCAUAAUGCUGCGGGGAGACAUCUCCCUGCAGCCAAAGAUUUAUCGGACAAGGAUGGGCAUGCGGCGCAUUAGCUUGUUGGCGGGGUAACGGCCCACCAAGGCGACGAUGCGUAGGGGUUCUGAGAGGAAGGUCCCCCACACUGGUACUGAGACACGGACCAGACUCCUACGGGAGGCAGCAGUGAGGAAUAUUGGUCAAUGGCCGGGAGGCUGAACCAGCCAAGUCGCGUGAGGGAAGACGGUCCUAUGGAUUGUAAACCUCUUUUGUCAGGGAGCAAAAACUGCCACGUGUGGCAGGAUGAGAGUACCUGAAGAAAAAGCAUCGGCUAACUCCGUGCCAGCAGCCGCGGUAAUACGGAGGAUGCGAGCGUUAUCCGGAUUUAUUGGGUUUAAAGGGUGCGUAGGCGGACAGUUAAGUCAGCGGUAAAAUUGAGAGGCUCAACCUCUUCCCGCCGUUGAAACUGAUUGUCUUGAGUGGGCGAGAAGUAUGCGGAAUGCGUGGUGUAGCGGUGAAAUGCAUAGAUAUCACGCAGAACUCCGAUUGCGAAGGCAGCAUACCGGCGCCCAACUGACGCUGAAGCACGAAAGCGUGGGUAUCGAACAGGAUUAGAUACCCUGGUAGUCCACGCAGUAAACGAUGAAUACUAAUUGUUCGGGUCAAAUGAGAUCUGAGUGAUACAGCGAAAGCGUUAAGUAUUCCACCUGGGGAGUACGCCGGCAACGGUGAAACUCAAAGGAAUUGACGGGGGCCCGCACAAGCGGAGGAACAUGUGGUUUAAUUCGAUGAUACGCGAGGAACCUUACCCGGGCUCAAACGACACAGGAAUGAUCUGAGAAAUCAGGCAGUCCUCCGGGACCUGUGUCGAGGUGCUGCAUGGUUGUCGUCAGCUCGUGCCGUGAGGUGUCGGCUUAAGUGCCAUAACGAGCGCAACCCCCAUCGACAGUUGCCAGCAGGUCAAGCUGGGCACUCUGUCGAGACUGCCGGCGCAAGCUGUGAGGAAGGCGGGGAUGACGUCAAAUCAGCACGGCCCUUACGUCCGGGGCGACACACGUGUUACAAUGGCAGGUACAGCGGGAAGCCACCUGGCGACAGGGAGCGGAACCCGAAAGCCUGUCUCAGUUCGGAUUGGAGUCUGCAACUCGACUCCAUGAAGCUGGAUUCGCUAGUAAUCGCGCAUCAGCCACGGCGCGGUGAAUACGUUCCCGGGCCU